rfam:Pichia membranifaciens DNA, contig: CON061, strain: KS47-1.
UUGUUUAUGAUGAAAAUUUUCUCAGCUCACUCUGAUCUGUACUGAAGACACAACUGUUUCCAACAUUCAUCAAAUUUACUGAUAACAA